rnacentral:rRNA from 1 species
UACAGAGGUCUCAAGCGUUGUUCGGAUUCAUUGGGCGUAAAGGGUGCGUAGGUGGCGUGGUAAGUCGGGUGUGAAAUUUCGGAGCUUAACUCCGAAACUGCAUUCGAUACUGCCGUGCUUGAGGACUGGAGAGGAGACUGGAAUUUACGGUGUAGCAGUGAAAUGCGUAGAGAUCGUAAGGAAGACCAGUGGCGAAGGCGGGUCUCUGGACAGUUCCUGACACUGAGGCACGAAGGCCAGGGGAGCAAGCGGG